GUUUGCCAUCCGCCGUGACGCCGUCAAACAAGAAGAAAACGCUGUCGUUAUCAGCUGAAGUGACGUGAGGAGAAUUACUUUUAGUGUUUAGCAGUAUGGAACCUAAGACAGCAGUGUUGAAUGCUGUUCCUCCGUACGGACACAUUCUUUGCAGUGAGAAAUGGAGGACGUCUUCUUUUGUUCAGGGCUUAAAAGAUGGAGGUGUGAAAAUCCUCUUUGAAAAUGAGCUGGGCGUGGCCGAUUUCCAUCUUCCCAAUAAAAUGUGCAUUCUGUACGUGUUUGAGUGUGACAUAAUAGCAGGAAAUGGGUACAAAAGGAAACUGGUUCGCUAUCGAAAUGCCAGUAGCAGUUUCCAGGAGCUAGUAUUAGUGGAGAGGACCAGGCUCAGUGAGCAGUACUUCUCUGCUGUGCAGAAGUUUGUGGUGUUUGACUUGGGUCUGUCUCUGCUUCCCGUCAGUGGGCAAACAGAAGCCUCACAGCUCAUCACUCAAAUUGACGUCUUGUCUGACCUGGACGGAACCGGCCACGCGAUUGCCUUCGGUAGGUGUUGUUGCCUCUUGGGCAAUGCUCGGCACAAUGUCCAAGUUCAUGGCAUGUCCAACAUUCUCCCAUUAUUCCAGGUGCACCAGGCCUGCCUCUGUUAGUCCAGGCGGGACCUCUUUGCUGUUGUCCACGGGGCCCAUAUGGUUGUGAGUUAAAUGAUUGAGGAUAGACAUUCACCACGGGUUGUUGCAGCUGGGUGGGUUGAGGAGCCGGAAAACUCCUUUGUGCCUGAUUUGUAACAUCAGGUACAGGUUCUGAAAAACCUUAAAGUGGUGUUACAUGUUCAAUGCUUUUAUCAUUGUGGCUUGAGUCUUGGCUUUGUUUUUUCCUGACAGUUCUCCAAGCUGCAUAUGUGCCAGUUUUCUUUGUAUGUUUUUAUCUUGUUCUGCAAGCAUCAUUUCUUGUCUUCUGUGCUUCUCCACUGCAUGUAUCACAUGAUCACGGAACUCUCAGUGAGGCAUUGACAUCAGAGCCACCACAUCUUCGAGCCUGCUUCUUACUGGACCAGGCAUUGCUUCAACGAUGGAGUUCCGGAACAGAGUUGUCAGCACAGGAUCCACUAGCAGUGAGACCAGGUGACUGGGUGUUCAUCAAAGUCAUCAGAAGGAAGAACUGGGCGAGCCCAAGGUGGGAAGGACCAUUUCAAGUGCUCCUGACCAUGCCAAAAGCUGUGAAGAUUGCUGAAAGACCAUCCUGGAUUCACAUCAGCCACUGUUAGUUACAGAGAGUGUUAAAUACGGUUGGAACAGUGGGGAAUUCCGACUACAAAGGGGCUUGUUUUUUUAGGGCAACUUGUCUCAACGUCGGUGAAGAAAUCAACUGAUCCCUGUUCGUUAGGGUCCUGGGUAAAAUUAACAUCUCUGUUAACCUAGCAAAAAAUGGGGUUCCCAUGGAGAUGGGGUUUCCUUUGCAAUGUGGCUGUUGCGUGCAUUAUCUGUUUGAGUCCAGAUCCGCUGAGUGAGAGGGGAAAGAGGUUCAUCCAAUCCACUGCCAUGAAGAUUUGGCUGGGAAAUCUCCCAGACCAUCACCCAGACAACUUGUGGCAGAUGUAUGUGACGAUGUUGACUGAAGAGAAGAACAUGAGUAACUGCUACGUAUGCUCAGUGAUGCCCAAACCCACCAGACAACCCACCCUGUAUGCUAAGAGCAUGCCGGCAGGAGACGGAACGUGUUUCCCGAGGACUGCCCUCGUACCUGUGUUUGCACCUGGCUACAUAAAAAAAAGUUGCGCGCCGUGCAUACGCUCAUUGACUGGAUCACACUGUGAUGUGAAGUUAUUUUCCACCUGCAACAACACCACCUAGAUCUUCCCUUUCACCAAGAAAGUCAGAAACUACGUAGAAAGCCUGAAGGCCCAGGUGCAUCACAGUGAUAAACAUCCUGUGUGCAUACAGUCACCAAUCAAACCUAGCUGCAAGAAACUGGGCCAGGUACAGGGGUGCCAGGUUAACCUCAGUGAUCUGUUUCCAAACUCCACGUUAACCCGGGACUAUGUAGCGUGGGCAUCUAUACCUACAGAAGGAGGAUGGUUCCUGUGUGGUGGAAACACACCCAUCACUGCCCCUCAGCUGGUCAGGUGCAUGUGCACCCGUGUUUGUUUCUGACCACACUAUCAUCAUCUCAGCUCAGGCUGUUAAGAACCAUCACUCCGCUAAUAGGAGAAGAGAGAUCAGCUCCAGCUCAGAUUUCCAACCCCAUGAUCCCAUAUGGGGUUCCAAUGUUCCCUCUGAACAUAAGCACUGGAGCGAAUAAAAUAGGACUUUCACUUUUCCCGUGGUUUGGAGUUGUUAAAUCUAUGCUGACGAUUGAGACACUGGACUACAGAAUAAAAACCCUGGUGAACAUGACGUUGGACAUCAAUAAAGGACAAAACAAACAAGUGAAAUGCGUUUAAUGGUACUGCAAAACAGAAUGAUUCUGGACAUGUUAACUGCUAGCCAAGGUGGCGUAUGUGUAAUGAUUGGAAUUUCCUGCUGUACAUACAUUUCUGACACAAAUUAAAUGCAUAUUACUGAAGCGAUGUCUGCUUUAAAGAAUCUGCAACAAGCAAUGUCCCAGGAUGCUGUUCCUCUAAGUAUGGACUUCUUCUCCUGGUUCUUCUAAUGAUCCUCUUGCUGAAAAUAAUGACACCCAUUAUUAUUAUUAUUAUUGUGUUUUUACUGCUUGUGUAAUCCCAUGCCUAAAAUCUAUGAUCGCUAAAACUAUGGAAGAUAUGUUUCAAUAUCAAAUGCUUUCACAAAUCCCUCUUGAAGAAUUACAACCCGUAUUUUAAGUUUUCCCGUGUUAAAUGCUUAAAAAAAUGAGUCUCAUUAAAAAUGCAAAAUGCAAGAAAUGAAUGCUCGAAGUAGGUUAAGUUAAGCUCCAAUUGUAAAUAAAAUUAUUAAAAGGAGGGAUAUGUUAAAAAAAUGUGAAUAUAAUAAUUUUCCUUUUAUUAAGGAAUGUUCUACUGUUUUAAUGUUCACAAAGGAAGAAACAGAUGUUUCUCCUAGACAAGGAAUCUCUUGCUGUAUAUGUUAAUCCUACACCUUUUUGUAUGCCAACCCCAUGUUGUAAAACCCCCCUUGUCCUUUCUUUUGUUUCUUAACCCGCAUGUUGUGAACUCCUGACUCAUCCUGUCCCUUCUUUGAUGUCUGAUAAUAAAGGCAAAGAGACAGAGGUAGCCAGCGCAGAUGGAGCCGAGAAUGUGAUGUAAUCGGCCUCACGUUUCUGGCCUUCUGCCCUCCUUCUUUGUGAAGAGUCUAAA